UCGAGCGCCCGCAAGGGAGCGGCAGACGGGAGAGUAACACGUGGGAACGUACCCUUUGGUUCGGAACAACCCAGGGAAACUUGGGCUAAUACCGGAUAAGCCCUUACGGGGAAAGAUUUAUCGCCGAAGGAUCGGCCCGCGUCUGAUUAGCUAGUUGGUGGGGUAAUGGCCCACCAAGGCUACGAUCAGUAGCUGGUCUGAGAGGAUGAUCAGCCUCACUGGGACUGAGACACGGCCCAG
rnacentral:rRNA from 1 species